GCUUAUGGUCAUAUCACGUUGAAAGUAUCGGCUCCCGUCCGAUCAUCGCUGUUAAUCAUUGUUGAACCUGCUUAGUAACUAGAUGGUUGAUCGCUUAGGAAAGCUAGAUGUUGUAAGCA
rnacentral:rRNA from 1 species